AAGUCUGAUAUAGUGUCCCUCCCACCUGUGCCUGCUCGCCUCUCAAGAGCUGUCCUGACAGGAAUAAAGGAGCAAACUCUCCAUGAACAGGCUGAGGGGAGAUUGCAUGCAGUUCCGCUUGCUGCAGUUGCUGGAGUUCGGGUCUUGCCUUUGGAUUCCAAUGGAUGAACAGCCAGCUGCCAGCAGCCCAGCGGACGUCAUCAGUUCGCACCGGCGAUUUAAAGCCGAGCUCGGACGAGCCCAGCGUGUCAACGGGCCACCAGCAACCUGGAACCCAUGAACCACCGCGGUGAAGGCCUCCUCGCACGCUGUGCUCCGCGUCCCACCUCACGAGGAGAAGGCGGACUGAAGAGCAGCGGGACCUCGGUCCAGCGGGUCCAGCGGGUCCAGCGGUCCCCACAGCCACGAGGAGGACACUUGACAUCGCUGGGGAGGGGACUGAGAGCGAGGUCUGCCUAUCAGAAGCCCGUGAACCGGACAGCUUGACUGUCACCGGGCGGAAAGCCAGACUGAGCCAGUGGGACCCAGUGGAGCAGGCUUCACGCUUUCCUUCAAAUCGCCACCAGCGCUCGAGAUGGGAGGAGGGCCAGGCACGCUCGAAAGCAGACAUUCGACUGCUCCACACCGGGGCACAUCGAGACGUCAGAGACGCCGCAGCCCGCCAGUAACCCUGCCACGAAC